rnacentral:rRNA from 1 species
CGAUGAUUACUGGGUGUGGGCAUGAAGAGUGUCCGUGCCGAAGCUAAUGCGAUAAGUAAUCCGCCUGGGGAGUACGGCCGCAAGGCUGAAACUCAAAGGAAUUGACGGGGACCCGCACAAGCGGUGGAGCAUGUGGUUUAAUUCGACGCAACGCGAGGAACCUUACCAGAUCUUGACAUCCUGCGAAGGCCUGCGAGAGCAGGCUGUGCCUCCGGGAACGCAGAGACAGGUGGUGCAUGGCUGUCGUCAG